GUUAACCAGGGACAACGAAAAAAAUCCCCUCCUCCUGCCGGUGCGCCACCACUCCCGCCUCCUUCCGGCGCGCCGUCAUCCCCGCCACCUAACUGCGCGCCGCCGGACCCUCCUUCUUCCCUGGAGCGCCGCCACCCUGCUGCCCCCGCCGUCUUCCCGAGCGCGCCGCUGCCGCCGUCUUCCCCAGAGCACCACCGCCCCACCACCCCCGCCCACGGGACCAGUGGUCCCAUCGCCGGUCUCCCCCCACCCAGAUCUGCUGGAGGCGCACCGAAUCCUGCCUCAUUGCCGGUUCCGCGACUCGGCCGCCGCCCCAACCGCUGCAGCAGCCGAGCACCUCCACUAGGUGCCCCGAUGGUUCAGACCCUCACCUGGCCCCUCCCUCGAACCCAGCGAGCCUCCGCCCGGCCUACUUCCCGCGCGAGGUCGCCUCCGCCUCCUCCUGGCGCAUCGCCGCCCCCACCAUCUGGAUCGAUGUCCCACUUGAGUUAGACGUGAACGAUAUGUUGAAGAGCAAGGGGGCACAUGCUAUUUCAGACCCUGAUUCGUUUUCUCAGGCAAUGGCAAAGCUCCGUCAGCGUUAUGAUGAUCUGAAAGAGCGGUAUGCAGUUUCUGAUGUUACUGUUUCAGUACAGAACGUGGCUUCUCAGCUAGGCUACAGCAGCAUCGACUCUUUGAGCCUGGAGGACAUGGUCAUUGAGAGGGGUCAUCGAGGCUGCCCGCAACCCUAUGCCCUCCACGGACACCACCACCAUGAUGGCGGAAGGAAGAGUAAGAGGGGUCGUCGAGGCUGGGUGCCGCCGUGAGGAUGCUGGCGCCCGUGCACGUUGAUGGCAUUGUGGCGGAAGGUCUUCUUCCUGGGGAGCCGCGCCCAGCCUCAGUCUCCACCCGCGGCCACGCUAACAAGAUAGAUCUCAAUGCUUGCUUGCUAAUGUGCGUGUGUGGAUGUUGCUGGUUGCUGCUGCUGUGCACGUCUGCUUGGUGUGCCCCUGCUGUUUUGUGUUCUCACCACCACAUCCAUGACAAAUAAAAUUUCUUAGUUUUCUUAGAAUGGUUUGUGCCAUGAUCUUCAUGCCAGGCAGGGUUUACAUUACGCAUGUGGACAACGGGAUUUUGAUGUCCAGUUAAACUAUCACAUGGUUGUGCAUGUGCACUAUCUAUUAAACCGACAAUCAUUGUUUUCAGGUUCAGGUUCGAUAUGUCAGGGCUAAAGUACGCUCCUGAGUUAAAGAAAUACCUCGAGAGACACUGUAGGUACGGUGCUAUUGUUAGUGUGUUGUUGUCAGUACUACUCCAAUACUUUGGUGUGUGGUUGCAUAGUACUCCCUCCGUCCGGAAUUACUUGUCGGAGAAAUGCAUAAAAAUGAAUGUAUGUACAACUAAAAUACGUCUAGAUACACCCAUUCCUCCGACAAGUAUUUCCGGACGGAGGGAGUACUCCAAUACUUUGGGGUAGUAAAAAAUGUAUUCGUGGUGGGAAAGCAUCAGUCGUUCGUAUUUGCAGAAUAGCGAAAUCAAUAAAUAUUACCAUUAAGAAAGCAUGCAUGGUAUAGUGAAUACUUAGUAUAGCAGUCAUAUUUUCUUGUCAACAUGCACCUAUUUGGAGGCCUAUCCGAUAUUAUUGCAAUCUGGUAGAACUGACAUAUACUCCCUCCGUCCGGAACUACUUGUCAUCAAAAUGAAUAAAAGGAGAUGUAUCUAGAUGUAUUUUAGUUCUAGAUACAUCCCUUUUAGUCCAUUUUGAUGACAAGUAUUUUCAGACUGAGGGAGUACUUUACUGGAGCUAGCACCUCAUGCAUAGUUAUUGUAUCAACCAGAAAGAAACUUCCGAUCUACCAUUUUACAAAACCAAAUUGUAUAGUGAGUAAUUGAAGUGAAGUUGUUUUGGGCACCCAAAGAUAAUUCUGUUUGUAUAUUCCUGCCACUUGUAUGGUUACAAGAAGCUAAAUGUUGUUUUUCUUUUUUAUGUUCUAUAAAUUAUUUCCAUGGUUAUCUCCGAUACAGUUUUAAAAUGAUCUUUUUGGACCAAUUAUAUUAGCUCAAGUUGCCAUUUAGUUGAGUUCAAGUUCAGACUUGGCUGCCAUUUUAGUUCAGUUCAGCUAGGAGCAACGUUUAGCAUUCUAGCUGUAUGAUAUGAUGUCUACACAUUUCCCUCUUUUCUUUUUGUGUAAUGUAAUUCCAGACUCUUUAGGUUAACCACUGCCACUAAUUCUCUAAUGGAUAUGCCAUGUGCAUAGGAAGGGUGCGCCAGUUUUUCCUUAUCUUCAUCUGAAUUAAAUCCGUCCAGUGUGUAUGCAGGAACUAAAGACAUGUAUUAGAGAAUGAAGCAUCAAUCAUCUUCUUGCUUAUUGUUUGUCAAAUGCUAUAUUAAAGUACUGUAUCAAUUCCUUUGUUAUUUACACGAAGGGACGGAUUAAGACCUGUGGGAUCAUGGCUCUUUCAGCUUGAGCAGUAUUUGUGAUGUAUCCUUCACUUACCAUGCCACGGGGUUGUUGCGGAUAUUGGUGGAGGACUUGGUGGUCUAGCGCAAAAUGGAAUCCUAGAAAGAAGUGAAACUAAUCAGCUAUGGUCAGUCGGCAGAGGCGCAUGCAGGUUUGUGCUUGAGGGUGCACGCGAGCCGGUGGCUACAGGCAAAGGAGCAAAGGAGGCUUCUGUGGCGCCGGAGCAACAAUUUCAGUGAGCACAUGGACUUGAUGCAGGGAGGGUCGUCGAAGAUAAGGACGGCGGCCCGGCCUACACAUGAUGGAACACACAUUGCCGACGAUGCGGUACCAGGGCUAGAGAAGAGAUCCCAAGAAUGCCCGCCGCAGUACUGCAUUGCCACUAUCUUCAAAGACGCGUCGCUGGAUGUUGUUAGGGAUUUCUUCUGGGAUGAUGACUUCCGGGUCAAGAACACUUGGGACAAUAUCUGCAGCACGAGAUUGAACGACGGGUGCACAAAGACUGGAACAAUGGUUGUUUGCUGGGUCAGGAAGGUGAGGUAUCUGCGUGAUAUCCCUGGCAAUAUUUCUGGAAUGCAUUACAAACUAUAUAAGUUUUGCCGUCACUGCUUGCCUUGCCUGUGCAAUUUCCAUUCUUCUGCAACGACAGGGAGUAUGUUAUCGGUCGCAGGGUCUGGGCAUCGGGAAAGACGUACUACUGCGCUAAUAAGGUGUUUUAUGAAAUGUCCUCCGUCCGAAAAUACUUGUCAUCAAAAUGAAUAAAAGGAGAUCACAAUGUUGGACACGACCACCUAAGAAUUGAAUAUUUUUAGUUGGAAUACUAUUUUAAUGAUCAAUCACAAUGUUGGACGCGACCACCUACUUAUUCCCGAGACUUUAAGUCUUUGGUGGCUUAAGCACAAUAUGCCCGGCAUAUGUUCUACAUCUGCGGCAUGUAAUGACCCUACUGGCAUUUCAAGAGGUCUGUAAAUACAACACUCUUCCAAAGUAUUUCCAAGUUUGGACGGUUAUUGAGCCUGCAUUGAUGAAAUAGUUGACGAAGAAGGAACUGAAAUGAGGUUAUUGAAGCUGCAUUUAAGAAUCUUGGUUGAUGAGCUGAUAUCUGACCAAAAACUCAAGAACUAGAAGCAAGCCUGACAUCCUUUUUCUGUAAUCGGAUUUACUAUAUUUUUGCAGCAGGCUACAUGCUUCUCUGAAUGACCAUUUAAGGAGUGAACAUGAAUUGCUGAUGUGUAUGUUCCAUGCUCCAUGGGGAGGGAACAAGGAUUGAUUUUCGCCAGGAGUAGGGAGAGUAUGCUGUGAAAUUGACUACAGCGUACAUGCAUACUUACCAGACUUGCCUAACAGAAGCACAAACACAAAUGGACACUCUGCAGUUGUAUCAGACACACCACCACAAGACAUGUUGUGUGCGUCACAAUUCUUAGCAGCGACCGUUACGACCGUCCAACGCCAAGAUUGCUAGCGACAAGGAUUUGAGGAGGACAAGACGGUAGCUAUCGACAAGGAUUCAAGAAGGACCAGAUGCUACGGUAGUGGUUGUAAUAUUAGUCAAGACGAAUCUGAAAAAAUUGAGUUAAGUCGUGGAGAUGUGGAGAUAUGAUGGAUUUUGCAAAAAAAAAAAAA